UGUAAAUUUUCGCCAUCUCUUUAUCGAAUGUAAAAUUACGCUUGUAUUUGUGAGCGAUUAUUGUAUUGUUCAUUCUUGUCUACAGAAGCGCAUCGGUUUGUCUGACGUGUGCAUUAGAAUAUUUUUGUUGUUGGUGAAAAUAAAUAAAGAAGGAUAAUAACAGCAAUUGAGGAAAAAAGAAAAAGAAAUAUUACUUUCAUUUCUCUUUCCGAAUAAUACCACCAUGAGCAAGAAAGAAAAUCUUUUAAUUUGAAGAAUGGUUUUUUUAUUUUGUACUGUUAUUUGACUUUUUUGAAAAUGAAAAAAAAAUGUUUUGUAGAAUUUCAUUCCAAGAAUGUAUAUGAACUAAUUUUGUAUAUACAUAUUUUUUUAAUAUAUCAAUGUGUAAUA